UACGGGGGGGGCAAGCGUUGUUCGGAAUUACUGGGCGUAAAGGGCUCGUAGGCGGCCAACUAAGUCGGAUGUGAAAUCCCCAGGCUUAACCUGGGAACUGCGUCUGAUACUGGACGGCUUGAGUGCGGGAGAGGGAUGUGGAAUUCCAGGUGUAGCGGUGAAAUGCGUAGAUAUCUGGAGGAACACCGGUGGCGAAGGCGGCAUCCUGGACCGACACUGACGCUGAGGCGCGAAAGCUAGGGGAGCAAACGGG
rnacentral:rRNA from 1 species